UAGAGACACUUAAUGCACCACUCAUUGGCGAUGAGCCUAUUCCAACUGUCUCUGAGAAGCCUGUGAAGAGCCUUGGCCGAUGGUAUGAUGCCUCCCUUAAGGACAAAGAGCAAGUAGAUCAGCUCAGGAAGGAUGUAGCCAGCGGCCUGGAGAACAUCAACAGAACCGCACUACCUGGCAAGUUGAAGCUCUGGUGUAUGCAGUUUGGGCUCCUUCCACGCCUCUUAUGGCCACUUACCAUGUAUGAAGUCCCGAUCUCAAAGGUGGAAAAGCUGGAGAGGCUGGUCAGCUCAUAUGCAAGGAAGUGGCUUGGGCUUCCCAGGUGCCUCAGCAGUAUAGGGCUCUAUGGCAAAGGAGUAUUAGAACUGCCCAUUUCCAGUCUAGCAGAGGAGUAUAAAUGCGCCAAAGUUAGACUGGAGAUGAUGCUAUUGGAUUUGAGUGAUCCAUUUGUAGCCCAAGCUGCACCCAUCCUGGCUACUGGGAGGAAGUGGACCCCACUGGAAGCAACCAAGCAGGCAAAGGCAGCACUCAAGCACAGGGACAUCGUGGGCCGAGUGCAGCACGGGAGGAGUGGUCUUGGAGCCGGAGCCAGUACACCGGCCUGGAACAAGGCUACUCCGUUCCAGAGACGCAAGCUGGUGGUCCAGGAGGUACGUCAGCAAGAGGAGGCAGCAAGGUGUGCAAAAGCUGUUUCACAGGCAAAGCAGGGGCAGUGGAUGACUUGGGAGGGAGUGGAGAAGAGGAAGAUCUCCUGGCAGGAGCUGUGGGAGAUGGAGGCAUUUAAGGCUAGCUUCACCAUCAGGGCCGCUUAUGAUGUACUGCCGUCUCCCAAGAAUCUUAGCCAGUGGUACGGAGAAGACCCGACAUGCUCCCUCUGCCCGACUCCAGCUACACUAAAGCACAUCCUGGUGGGCUGCAAGACCGGCCUCACUCAAGGCCGGUACACCUGGCGGCACAACCAGGUGCUACAGUGUCUUGCGGCAGUGAUGGAGAGUCGACGGAUGAGCGUCAAUGCCCUUCCUCCACCAUCUCGUAGGCCGGCAACAACAUUUGUCCGGGAGGGCGGGGGCCAAGCCACUCUCACCACCACAAGACCAGAAACUGGACAGCUAGGUGGGGCACGGGACUGGAAGAUGCUGGCAGACCUAGGCCAGAAGCUCCGAUUUCCAGCAGAAAUAGCAACAUCAAAUCUGCGACCAGACCUUGUGCUUUGGUCGGCCUCACUCAAGCAGGUCUAUAUCGUCGAGCUCACGGUGCCCUGGGAGAGUGCGGUGGAAGAGGCUUACGAGCGCAAGAAGCUAAGGUAUGCGGACCUUGCAGCAGACGCACAACAACGAGGCUGGAAAGCUAAGGUCUGCCCAGUUGAAGUAGGCUGCAGAGGAUUUGUAGCCACCUCAACAUCCAGGCUUCUUCGAGAGAUGGGAGUGCGGGGGAAGGCCCACAAGGCAGGCAGUCAAAGACCUUUCCAGGGCUGCUGAAAAGGGAAGUCAGUGGCUGUGGAUAAAGAGGAAGGACUCCGCCUGGGCUGUCGGAUGAGUGAUGGCAUCUAGGGAGUGAGCCCGGGACGCCGGAUCUCACUGCUGAACCCUCUGGAGGUGUCGUGGGUCAAUCAGCGAAACAUCGAAGAAGGAGGGCGCCCAGCCUAUUCAUCACAAGACUAGACACAGGCCAUCCCUGUCAUACAAAGUCUCUUCCACUGCAAAAACUAGGAUUCUUUUUCAGCUGACGUCAAGACAGUAGUUUUGCUCGGGAGAGUCAACCUAGAGCAGGCCGUAUUAGUAGUGUAACCAUCUGCUGAGCCAUCUUUUUCAUGUUUUUAUUGCCCCCUUCUGGUCAAACAUGGAAAACAUUGAAGCCGUGCA
rnacentral:lncRNA from 1 species